GGCCUCUCACCUUCACCCCGA
rnacentral:siRNA from 1 species